UGCGUAGGCGGGCUAAUAAGUCAGUGGUGAAAUCUUCCGGCUCAACCGGGAACCUGCCAUUGAUACUGUUAGUCUUGAGUUCGGUUGAGGUAGGCGGAAUGUGUAAUGUAGCGGUGAAAUGCUUAGAUAUUACACAGAACACCAAUUGCGUAGGCAGCUUACUAGACCGACACUGAUGCUGAGGCACGAAAGCGUGGGGAGCGAACAGGAUUAGAUACCCUGGUAGUCC
rnacentral:rRNA from 1 species